CCAAUAGCGUAUAUUAAAGUUGUUGCAGUUAAAAAGCUCGUAGUUGGAUUUCUGGACGGAGCGACCGGUCCGCUGCUGUGCAGUGUGUACUCGUGUCUGACUCUGUUCAUCCUUGCAGGGAAGCGCAUUUCGGCAUUCAGUUGUCGAGGCGGGGAACUGCAUCUUUUACUGUGAAAAAAUUAGAGUGUUUAAAGCAGGCAUUUUGCUGUGAAUACAUUAGCAUGGAAUAAUAACAUAGGACCUUGUUUCUAUUUUGUUGGUUGGAGAACUAGGUAAUGAUUAAUAGGGACAGUUGGGGGUAUUCAUAUUUAAUUGUCAGAGGUGAAAUUCUUGGAUUUAUGAAAGAUGAACUCAUGCGAAAGCAUUUACCAAGGAUGUUUUCAUUNA
rnacentral:rRNA from 1 species